UACGUAGGGUGCAAGCGUUGUCCGGAAUUAUUGGGCGUAAAGAGCUCGUAGGCGGUUUGUUGCGUCGGCUGUGAAAUCCCGAGGCUCAACCUCGGGUCUGCAGUCGAUACGAGCAAACUAGAGUGUUGCAGGGGAGACUGGAAUUCCUGGUGUAGCGGUGAAAUGCGCAGAUAUCAGGAGGAACACCGGUGGCGAAGGCGGGUCUCUGGGCAGUUCCUGACACUGAGGCACGAAGGCCAGGGGAGCAAACGGG
rnacentral:rRNA from 1 species